CCUACGGGAGGCUGCAGUGAGGAAUAUUGGUCAAUGGGCUUACGCCUGAACCAGCCAAGUCGCGUGAGGGAAGACUGCCCUACGGGUUGUAAACCUCUUUUGUCAGGGAGCAACGCCGGCUACGUGUAGCCGGACUGAGAGUACCUGAAGAAAAAGCAUCGGCUAACUCCGUGCCAGCAGCCGCGGUAAUACGGAGGAUGCGAGCGUUAUCCGGAUUUAUUGGGUUUAAAGGUUGCGUAGGCGGGAUGCCAAGUCAGCGGGAAAAUCGCGGGGCUCAACCCCGCGCCGCCGUUGAAACUGGCGUUCUUGAGUGGGCGAGAAGUAUGCGGAAUGCGGGGGGUAGCGGUGAAAUGCAUAGAUAUCACGCAGAACUCCGAUUGCGAAGGCAGCAUACGGGGGCCCAACUGACGCUGUAGCACGAAAGCGUGGGUAUCGAACAGAAUUAGAUACCCAUGUAGU
rnacentral:rRNA from 1 species